rnacentral:lncRNA from 1 species
CCACCAUCUUGGCAAGGGCAGCCUCAGCAACCGGGUCAACCAAUGCAACCACCUAUGAUGCCUCCGCCCCCACUUCAGCAGUUCAGGCCGCCUCCCCCGAGCAUGCCACCACCCCCUCAACAGGUAAUGCAAGCUCUCUCAAGACCUCCUCCACCACCAGCAUUAAUGGGGGGCCCUCCCCCUGUUUGGCGGCCACCCCCACCCCCUCAGCAACUGGCUGGGAGGCCCCCUACUAUGCUUCAGAUGUCAAUGCCGCCACCUCCACCACCUCCUGCAGCAGGUUGAAGAGAAGUUGAAAACCCGAUAAAUGUUGCAAAAGUAGUUAUUUUGUCAAAUGCUUCUAUCUAAGACUAUGUCUUACCUACUUAGGAUUAUAUAGAAAUCGCGGUAGGGACAAUCUUUGAUCC